rnacentral:ncRNA from 1 species
AAUAAUACAGGACUCUUUUGAGGCCCUGUGAUUGGAAUGAGCCCAGUUAAAAUACUUCCGCGAGGACCCAUUGGAGGGCAAGUCUGGUGCCAGCAGCCGCCGUAAUUCCAGCUCCAA